GACGAACGCUGGCGGCGUGCUUAACACAUGCAAGUCGAACGGAAAGGCCCUGCUUUUGUGGUGUUCUCGAGUGGCGAACGGGUGAGUAACACGUGAGUAACCUGCCCUUGACUUUGGGAUAACUUCAGGAAACUGGGGCUAAUACCGGAUAGGAGCUCCUGCUGCAUGGUGGGGGUUGGAAAGUUUCGGCGGUUGGGGAUGGACUCGCGGAUUAUCAGCUUGUUGGUGGGGUAGUGGCUUACCAAGGAUUUGACGGGUAGCCCGACUGAGAGGGUGACCGGCCGCAUUGGGACUGAGAUACGGCCGAGAUGGCUAAGGUAGGCAGAAGGGGGGAAUAUUGAACAAGGGGCGGAGGCCUGAUGCAGCAACGCCGCGUGCGGGAUGACGGCCUUCGGGUGGUAAACCGCUUUCGCCUGUGACGAAGCGGGAGUGAAGGUAACGGGUAGAGAAGCACCGGCUAACUACGUG
rnacentral:rRNA from 1 species